rnacentral:rRNA from 1 species
GAAACGCGUAGUCGAUGGGAAACGGAUUAAUAUUUCCGUACUUGUUAUAUCAGUGAAGGGGGGACGGAGAAGGUUAUGCUAGCUUGGCGUUGGUAGUCCAAGUGAAAGUGCGUAGGGUUAGUAUUUAGGAAAAUCCGGAUACUACAUUUAAAAGAUGAGCCUGAGACACGAGACGAGACUCUACGGAGUUGAAGUAGCAAAUACCCUGCUUCCAGGAAAAGCCUCUAAACUUAUGAUAUAGCGAACCGUACCCCAAACCGACACAGCUGGUUAGGUAGAGAAUACUAAGG